rnacentral:rRNA from 1 species
UACGUAGGGUGCGAGCGUUGUCCGGAAUUAUUGGGCGUAAAGAGCUCGUAGGCGGUCUGUCGCGUCGGUCGUGAAAACCUGCAGCUUAACUGUGGGCGUGCGGUCGAUACGGGCAUGACUGGAGUUCGGCAGGGGAGACUGGAAUUCCUGGUGUAGCGGUGAAAUGCGCAGAUAUCAGGAGGAACACCAGUAGCGAAGGCGGCACUCUGGGCCGGUACUGACGCUGAGGAGCGAAAGCGUGGGGAGCGAACAGG